AACGAACGCUGGCGGCAGGCUUAACACAUGCAAGUCGAACGAGAUCUUCGGAUCUAGUGGCAGACGGGUGAGGAACACGUGGGAACAUCCCUUUCAGUUCGGAAUAACGUUGGGAAACUAAUGCUAAUACCGGAUACGUCCUUCGGGAGAAAGAUUUAUCGCUGAAAGAUUGGCCCGCGUCUGAUUAGCUAGUUGGUGAGGUAACGGCUAACCAAGGCUACGAUCAGUAGCUGAUCUGAGAGGAUGAUCAGCCACAUUGGGACUGAGACACGGCCCAAACUCCUACGGGAGGCAGCAGUGGGGAAUAUUGGACAAUGGGCGCAAGCCUGAUCCAGCCAUGCCGCGUGAGUGAUGACGGCCUUCGGGUUGUAAAGCUCUUUUGUCCGGGAAGAUAAUGACUGUACCGGAAGAAUAAGCCCCGGCAAACUUCGUGCCAGCCGCCGCUGUAA
rnacentral:rRNA from 1 species